CACUCCACCGUACCGGCCAUCGAUUGCCGGCGUCAGCGCCGCACAGCGGCCAGUGAGGGUAAAAAGGUGCCCCUUUGUAGAUCCCGACCUCCGAAAUCCGAAUCCGGUCUCAAAAUACCCUAAAAAUAAAAGGAAGAGGACCAUCGGUCUUUCAACAACCGAUUCUGUUACCCCAGUAAGUUCCUCUUUCCCUUUCUUCUUUUUGUUAUUGAUUCGUAUAAAAAAAUAAACAAGCAUAAAAAGGAAAUGAAUCAGAAUACGAAAAGAAAACAGUAAAGAAUAUAAAUACACCUUUCAAAUUUUUAUUUUCGAAUCGUCUUCCCUUUUUUAAUUUCUGCAAAAGCCCCAUUUUCCUUUUUACAACCUUCGACUUUAUAGCUGAGAGAAAAUAAAACAAAACAAUUUUUGCUAUUGUCUAGUCUUGUCUACUUCUGCUUCUCUUGUUGAGUAUUUGCAGGUGACCGUACAGAGUUGCAGCGGCAGUAGAGGGAGUCAAACGCACAUGGCAAAAGGUCACGCG
rnacentral:lncRNA from 1 species